rnacentral:lncRNA from 1 species
UUUGCUCCCAAAUCCUUAUAUUUUGAAUUGCUGAUAUAUGGGAAAAGGUAGAUUUUUUUUAAUGGUAGAAAAAGUUAGUUACUAAUACAGACUUCAUAUUAUUACAAAUAAUGUGAAAGACUUCAUCUUAUUACAACUGAAGUAAUGUGAAAGUUAUUUGGACUCUUAUUUACUAUAGCAUAUUAUGAUGUUUGUAGGUCUUAUGACCAAAUCUUAGGACUCAGUACAGCACAGAUUAAGAACUUGCAAAUAAUUCAAUAGCAGACAUUUGAAUUAAAUGAACUGACUUCUCCACCUUUUUUUAAAAUCAGAUACAAACUACUAAACUAAAAAGCAAACACAGCUCAGGGAAAGACAAUCAGUGCAAGAGGAAAACCAAGCAGUGUCUUCUACGUGGCAGAAAUAAAGCCUAUGACUAAUC